GACGAACGCUGGCGGCGUGCCUAAUACAUGCAAGUAGAACGCUGAAGACUUUAGCUUGCUAAAGUUGGAAGAGUUGCGAACGGGUGAGUAACGCGUAGGUAACCUGCCUACUAGCGGGGGAUAACUAUUGGAAACGAUAGCUAAGACCGCAUAGGUACGGACACUGCAUGGUGACCGUAUUAAAAGUGCCUCAAAGCACUGGUAGAGGAUGGACUUAUGGCGCAUUAGCUGGUUGGCGGGGUAACGGCCCACCAAGGCGACGAUGCGUAGCCGACCUGAGAGGGUGACCGGCCACACUGGGACUGAGACACGGCCCAG
rnacentral:rRNA from 1 species